CAAAUGGGAUAUCUUUAGUAAUUGCGAAUGAACAAGGAUAUGCUUAGCUUGACAAAUGGAGCUAUUGGCUUUGAAUUGUAUUGUGGAAAUGUAUUACCAACAGAGGUGCAGGUGCCAGCCUAUUGAAAUAAAGCGUCAAUGAGGGUGAGAAUCCUGUUUGUCAUGUGCAGCCCUGUGUGCACGGUGUAUAUUUGCUGAGUCACACUCCUUGGCAUUGGAAUGCAAAGUGGGUGGUAAGUUUCAUGUAAAGGUAAACAUGCAAUUGAGACUGAUAGCACACAAGUACCAUGAGGGAAAUAUGAAAAGGACUUUGAAAAGAGAAUUAAAUGAGUUUGUAUUUGCUGAACACAAAGUAAACAGACUUGAUUUGCUUGGUGGGAGUGUUGCACUUGCUUGACAAGAGCUUUGGGCUGUGGGUGUAAUGAUUCUUUCUUUGCAUGCCAGUUUCUAUUUGUACAUCUGAUUACCUUUGCACAUGAAUGAUAAGUCUCCUGUGGGGGGUGGAUUGCAUGUGCAUGUAAUGAUUUGUGUUUUGAUAAAUGUGUCUGGUGUAUGUGUGUGUUCCUGUGCUUGGGGAUGCUUCCUUCCUUGGACUUACAAGCCCUGACACACACAUGCUGGCAAAAUGCUUCUGCUUGACCCGUCUUGAAAAUCGAAUUCC
rnacentral:rRNA from 1 species